rnacentral:rRNA from 1 species
UAGGGAAUCUUCCACAAUGGACGCAAGUCUGAUGGAGCAACGCCGCGUGAGUGAAGAAGGUUUUCGGACCGUAAAGCUCUGUUGUUGGUGAAGAAGGAUAGAGGUAGUAACUGGCCUUUAUUUGACGGUAAUCAACCAGAAAGUCACGGCUAACUACGUGCCAGCAGCCGCGGUAAUCGUAGGUGGCAAGCGUUGUCCGGAUUAUUGGGCGUAAAGCGAGCGCAGGCGGAAGAAUAAGUCUGAUGUGAAAGCCCUCGGCUUAACCGAGGAAUUGCAUCGGAAACUGUUUUCUUGAGUGCAGAAGAGGAGAGUAGAACUCCAUGUGUAGCGGUGGAAUGCGUAGAUAUAUGGAAGAAUACCAGUGGCGAAGGCGGCUCUCUGGUCUGCAACUGACGCUGAGGCUCGAAAGCAUGGGUAGCGAACAGGAUUAGAUACCCUGGUAGUCCAUGCCGUAAACGAUGAGUG